rnacentral:lncRNA from 1 species
AACGUGUUUCUAACAUUGCAUACAACGUUGUAAAUGGCAUUUGCACUCCUGUAAAAGAUCAAUCAGCUCCUGUAUAUAUCACCGUUGGUGAUGGAGGAAACCUUGAAGGCUUAGCAACCAAGUAAGCUCAUCGAACGUGACAUGAUGAUUCUUGUCACUUUUCUCCUUACUUUUAUGUCAUUAAGCUUGAACAUGUAUUUACUAAGUCUGAUAUGAACUGCAGCAUGACAGAACCACAACCUGAGUAUUCUGCAUAUAGAGAAGCCAGCUUUGGACAUGCCAUGUUUUCCAUAAAGAACCGAACGCAUGCUCAUUACAGCUGGAACCGAAAUCAUGAUGGAAUUGCCGUGGAGGCUGAUUCCGUUUGGUUUUUCAAUCGAUACUGGCACCCAGUUGAUGAUUCCACUGUUCAUGAGUGAUAUUAACGCACACUUUCACUACAACAAUGCAUAAUUUGACGUCAAUAAAUUCAUCAGUCGGCAACUAUUUGCUGCCAAUACCACCAACAAUGAUCUUCAAUGUCUCUGAAAUAGUUACAGUUGACAAUUGCAAAUUGCGUGCUUCUAUUCUGAAAUUGCAUUGCAUAAAGUCCAAGCGAAUUUUGAAAGAUAUUUUUUCAAUUUAAAAGUUAAAAUUAUGUUACAAAUUGUAUAAUUUAUAAUUUAUUUUUUUUUAAGUUAAUUUCUUUAUUUUGAAUUAAGCAAUUAAAAAAUUAAUGGAUAAUAAAAAAGUUAAAAUUAGCUUUCAGUCCAAAAGUUAAAAUGAUGUUUCAGAUUAGAUUGCAUAAGAACACAUAUUUUUGAAAUAUAAAUUAGAUUUUAAAUUGCAUAAUUUAGAAUGAACUCCAACCUAAAAAUUCCCAUUGCUCAACAUAAAUUAGAUUUUAAAUUUAAUGAUCUUCAUUUCAGCUCAAAUAAUGUGAAAAUCUACCACUCAAUACCUCCACUUGCUGACCAAUCUAAGCAAAAAGCAAUAACGGUGUGCCUAUUUCAUUACCAUAUAAUAGAAGAAGGGUACUAUUGGCAGUUUGAGUUUUAUGGGCUUGCAUAUGGACAUUAUAGGGGUGGAAAAAGAAAUAUUCAAGAACUGUUUAACUUGUUGGACUUUUCUCCCUACACCCUCAUAAUUUCUUUCUCUAGCUUGAUAAUUUCAUCUUGUACUUUCUUAUAUUUAAAAAAAUUCAAUGUUACCCUCUUUUUGUAUUGAGACCUGAUGUAAGUGUUUCAUUAAAAAAGUUUUGUUUUGAAAAUUUCACAAAAAACAAAAGAAAAAUUAAAAAAAAAUAGUGAAAAUAUUUUAUACAAUUUAAAUUAAUGAUUUGUGAAUAAUAAAUACAAUAAUUAAGUAUUUAUUAAGGGAGUAAUUAUUUUUGAAAAAAUUAUUCAAAAAAUUAAUAAUUCAUGAAAAAAAAUUAUAAAAAAUAUUAUUUCCUAUUUUUAUUCAUAUUAUUAUUGGAUGGAGGGAAAAUGAUAAAAGAGUGAAUGAAAAUAAAUAAUAAAAUUAGAUUGAUGCGAAAAACAACAAAUGCUGUAUAAAUAAUUAAUAAUAAGCUCUUUUAUCUUUUUUGUUUGAAUUCCUUGAUUAUUUUUUUAGCCUUUUUCAUUCCUUUUAAGUAUACAUUUUUAUAUGAUUGGACGUAUAGAUAAUUCCAUGCUGUAAUAAAAGUAAUUAACUCUACAACUACGACGAUAUAUAUUAAUAUAUAUCCUACUACAAUAUUAAAAUUUGGCUUGCAGAAUAUUGAGGUAAAGAUCUGAAAUUCAGAAACCAUUUUGAAUAUUUUUUUUUAAGAAAAAAGUUUUUUUAACAGAAUUUUUUUUUAUAAUUUUUUAAUUACGUAUACAUGACAAUUUAUGAUUAUUCGUUUCAAAUUUUUUUUAAAAUAAAUUCAAAUAAACGAUUGAAAUAGUGACACGUCUUCUAUUAUAAAAAAAUUAUUAAAAAGUAUGAUUAAAAUAUCAUUCUCUUUUUUAACCGACAACAACUAAAUAAUCUAAUAAAAAGAGAAGAAGAAGCACGUGACAAAGGAUAUUCAUGAAGGAAGGAAAUCUAUAUAAUAUAUUUAAAGGUUAGUCAACAAGUAAUUAUAAAAUAUGUAAGUCAUUUUCAUUCAUUCACGUUGUUUAAUUUAUUGUUUUCAAUUUAAUUUCAAAUUUAUUAUUUAUAUAGUAAAUUAAAAAUAAAUUAAACUAAACAAUAAAUUAUUGGGGGAUAAUCUUGGAAGUCGCAUGAACAUUAUUUUAAGGACAACAUUUUGCCACAUAGUAAGCAUAAAAUAUUACUAAUUUAAGGAUGAAUGUGUAAUUGCAUGCACCGUAUUACUGCUCAUGAAUGCGCAACAAGACAAGCUUCCUCACAAAGAGUAAUUCACUUGAAACAAAUAACAGAGAAAUCUGGUGAACAAUUUUCUUUUUCAUGGAAGAUGGAAGAGAAAGAGAAAAAGAAAAAGGAUGAAUAAGUUUGAGUGUUAGAGAUAGAGAGAGAACUGAAAGAAAUACACAUGCAAGAAAACUACGGACAGGUUUCAUUGAUCAGCAAGAAAACAUCAUGGGCCCAUUGUCACGUUGACCCUUAAUCGGAAUAUUCCUUGUUAUAUGCCAUUCACAACUACCCUUCUUGUUAAUAUUAUUGUUUCGUUGAUUGCAAAGGAUUGAAAUAAUAAAUAGGACUUGAAUCAGUAGGAUCUCGGGGUUCGAGCAAAAUGGGUGUUGUGGAGGGUCUCUUAGCUUUAACUUUGUUUCUGAAUGUGGUUGUUGUGUGUAAUGGAGGCUCGAGCAGCUUCUUCGUUAGGAAAACCGAGAAAUCUGUGGAUAUGCCACUUGACAGUGAUGUAUUUUCUGUUCCUCCUGGUUAUAAUGCUCCUCAGCAGGUACAUACUUAUCUGGGUUUCCCUUCUUUUCUAAUUCUGUUAAAUAUUAUGUUCAUGUAAGAUAGGAGAGGACUUACUCUAGAGUUGAGGAAAACGGUGAAUGAUUCUCUGCUUAGUUUCGGGAUGAAAGUUCAAUUCUUUUUCGGGAUGAAAGUUCAAUUCUUUUUUCUUUAGGAGUUUUCUUUGAAUUGAAUUGAAUCAAUGACAAUGGCUGCUAUGCAUAAGGUUCAUAUAACGCAAGGUGACCUUGUGGGGAGGGGAAUGAUAGUGUCAUGGGUGACGAUAGAUGAACCGGGGUCGAGUGCAGUGCGUUACUGGAGUGAGAACAGUGGGGAGAAGAAGAUUGCAGAAGGACAAAUUGUUACUUAUAAGUUCUUCAAUUACUCAUCUGGGUUUAUUCACCACACCACCAUCAGAGAUUUAGAGGUACUUCUCUUUUCCAUUAUUUANAUNUUAUGUUNUNUGUUGUCCAGAUGCAGAACAAGGANGAGAAGCUUGUGAGAUAAAAGAAAAGUGCUAUCUGUUAGUGUCUUAAUAGGCCAAUAUGUUUGUUGUAAACUGGUGUGACAUUAUUUGUAGGGGAUCUUGGUCAGAGUUUUGAUUCAAAUGUGACUCUUUCUCACUAUGAAUUGAGUCCAAGAAAAGGAGAAACUGUACUGUUUGUUGGAGACCUCUCUUAUGCUGAUAACUACCCGAAUCAUGAUAAUGUGAGGUGGGAUACUUGGGGAAGGUUUACAGAAAGAAGUGUUGCAUAUCAACCAUGGAUUUGGACUGCAGGGAACCAUGAAAUUGAUUUUGCUCCAGAAAUUGUAAGCUUUCUCAAACCAAUUCACUUUAUCUGGUUUCAACUAUCUGAAAAACUUCUUUUUGUUUUUCUCAACGAAAAAUUUUAGCUUUGGUGUAAUGCAUUUACCAAGUCCAAAUGUUGGUAAGAAUAGAGUUUUUAACAUAGAUGAACACUUUCUUGCAGGGUGAAACCGUACCUUUCAAGCCUUUCACCCANCGUUACCAUGUUCCAUACAAAGCAUCUCAGAGCACUUCACCCUUCUGGUAUUCUAUCAAGAGAGCUUCGGCACACAUCAUUGUCUUGUCCUCAUAUUCAGCAUAUGGUAAUUCCCUCCAACGACUUUUGCAUCUUACAUACUUUUUUAUGAUUUCAGAUUAACUCAGUUCUGUUUGUAAUAACUUCACUGAGGAAUAAGCUAUAAUUUACAACAGAAAAAUGAACUUAUGCUAAAUAAUUUCGGCUCUUAGGUCUGUAUCUAUCUAUAUGUAUGUAUCAACUUAAUGUGGAACGUUGUUGUUUAUCUAAAAGCAUGAUGUCGGUGUCCUUAAGUUCCUGACCAACGACACUUACCUUAAUAAUCUGUGUGUAUGUCUAUUCAAACAUAUAAAGUUGCUUACUUCCGGCACUCUGUUCUUUUAUUGGAUUAAAUGCACACCUAAUCUAUGAUGCCACUACUUUGAAAUUGGUAGCCCUUUUUGUUAUAAUAAUCAUCGUUAUUCUCAGGCAAAUAUACGCCGCAAUAUAAAUGGCUUGAAAAGGAGCUACCGAAAGUUAACAGGACAGAGACUCCUUGGUUGAUUAUUCUCAUGCAUUCACCUUGGUACAAUAGCUACAAUUAUCACUACAUGGAAGGAGAAACAAUGAGAGUAAUGUACGAAACCUGGUUUGUGAAGUACAAGGUUGAUGUUGUNUUUGCUGGUCAUGUUCAUGCCUACGAACGAUCUGUAAGUGCUAAAACUAAACCUCAUUUGAAAUUUCUAAUUCUUCUGAAAGCCAUCAGUAUCAAUCUUGUACCAUUAGGCUUGCACUCAAACUUUGAAACAUAGCUACAAAAGUAAAAUAUUACACAAAUUCACUUCAAUAAUCUCUUUCGAAUUGGUAUAUGAUUGAUGGGCUGCUAUGCAUCAGGAACGUGUUUCUAACAUUGCAUACAACGUCGUAAAUGGCAUUUGCACUCCUGUAAAAGAUGAAUCAGCUCCUGUAUACAUCACCAUUGGUGAUGGAGGAAACCUUGAAGGCUUAGCAACCAAGUAAGCUCAACGAACGUAACAUGAUGAUUCUUGUCACAUUUCUCCUUACUUUUAUGUCAUUAAGCUUGAACAAAUAUUUACAAAGUCUGACAUGAACAACAUUUGAACUGCAGCAUGACAGAACCACAACCUGAGUAUUCUGCAUACCGAGAAGCCAGCUUUGGACAUGCCAUGUUUUCCAUAAAGAACCGAACUCAUGCUCACUACAGCUGGAACCGAAAUCAAGAUGGUCUCGCUGUGGAGGCUGAUUCCGUUUGGUUUUUCAACCGAUACUGGCACCCAGUUGAUGAUUCCAUCGCUCAUGUUUCACAUUAACGCGCACAUUCGCUGAUCUUAGUACAACAAUGCAUAGUUUGAUAUCAAUAUUUUAAGGAAAUUUAUAAUAUAAUUUGAAAUACAUCUUUCAUUUUAUAUUAUGAAAAAUAUAGCCUAGGAUAGAACUCUUCGUAUUUAGGAAAUCAGAAUGUGAAAUAAAAAAAAUUGUAUUUCAGAG